AUCUUCCACAAUGGGCGAAAGCCUGAUGGAGCAAUGCCGCGUGAAUGAAGAAGGUCUUCGGAUCGUAAAGUUCUGUUAUUAGAGAAGAACAAGUCAAGGAGUAACUGUCUUGACUUUGACGGUACCUAACCAGAAAGUCACGGCUAACUACGUGCCAGCAGCCGCGGUAAUACGUAGGUGACGAGCGUUGUCCGGAAUUAUUGGGCGUAAAGGGGGAGCAGGGGGUGUGGAAAGUGUGUGAUGAAAGAGCACGGGUUAACCGUGUAAGGUAUUUUGGAACAGUCCACAUUUAAAGCGGAGAAGGAGAGUGGGAUUCCAUAUGUAGCGGUGAAAUGCGUAGAUAUAUGGAGGAACACCAGUGGCGAAGGCGACUUUCUGGUCUGUAAUUGACGCUGAGGCUCGAAAGCGUGGGUAGCGAACA
rnacentral:rRNA from 1 species